rnacentral:lncRNA from 1 species
GCAAGUAGGCAGGUCAAGAGGAAAAGUUGCACUACAUCAGCAGAUCCAAAAAAGAAACAUAACAAUUCUAGAAAUUCUAACAAGGUAUUGAAUUUCAGUUAUCUUGAAACUGUCGUCGAUAGAUGAAAUGGAUGUUAAACAGUGGAAUACAGACUAAUACUACACUUCUCUUUCUUUACUUUUAUACAGACUAAUACUACACCAAAGUUGCAAGUUAAGAGGAUAAAGACCCGCGCUAAAGUACCAGCAGGAUUUGGUGUUUAUGUUAGUCCUGAGGGAGCUGUAAUAGAUAAUAUGAAUGGACAAAACUCUGGAUUAGUUUUUGUGAGUUACAACUUUUUUUAAAUUGCAAGUAUUUAUGUUACUUUUAUUUGUCAUUUUUCAUAUGUAACCAUACUUGUGCUUGGUUAUGUCAAAUGCAGAUGCCAACUCCAGGAGAAGUCAUAUAUCAAGAUGGAUCAAGCAGAAAUAACACACCUCCUGCUACAAGAAUGUAUAGAACCCUACUUACAUCAAGCAACAAUCCACCAACUUCAAGCACAAUGGAGAACAUGAGAGAUUAAGUUGGAAGUCAGUAGGGACAUGAGAUAUCCAAGUUUAAUUUUUAAGAACUUUGUUUAAUAUUUAUGACCUUUGUUUAAUAUCAAGUUUGGACAGUGUGUUGAUUGAAAUGAUUGACUGAUGGCAGCUUUUUUCAAGUUUGUUUAAGACAAUGUAUUGUUUAAUAUCAAGUUUUAAGAACAUGACUGAUGGCAGCUUUUUUUAUUUUUAUGGUUGAAUUGAAUCCUUUUAUGGUUGGCUUGAAUCCUUUUCAUUUUUAUGGUUGAAUUGAAUGAUGACAUUUUUUUAUGUUCUGCAAAGUACCAAUAAGGCCUUCCUAACAUUUUCACCAGUUGGUCAAUUUGAGUGAGGUUUGGCAGUGCAUUUUGCUGAUUAAAAUAGGAAACAUAUCUACCCCUUUCCUUUUCUCUUUCAAUGAAGUGCUCUUUCAGUAGUCUGUAUUAUGACGAAGAAGAAAAUAAUUUGAGCUUAAUGGAUGUUGGCUAGUCCUAAUUCAAUCAGCAAGGAUGCAAUGUGGAUGAACUUGAGGAGCUUAUCUUUAUUCUUGAAUUUUAACUUAGUUUUGCUAGACACAUUCUUUAGUAGUUUAAUCUUCCAGAGCAUGUAGUAGUCGGAUUAAUUAAGCUUUGUGUCUUAUUUAUAUAUCUUGUGGGAUAUGGUGACCAUAAUACUUGCCACCAGCCUCUGUUAAAGCAUCCUUAAUUUGCAAAAAACAGAGCAUUGAAACAACAACAAACUAGAAAGACAAGAAACAGAGCAUGCAAUUCAUUCAUUAAUUAAAACAGAACAUCAUUCAUUCAUUGAAACAGCAACAUUAUUCAUUCAUUGAAACAACAACAUCCUGCAUUCAUUAAAACACCAAACAUCACAAUCCAUUGAAACACCACCAAAAAUAAACCUUCAACUUAACUAAUACAUUAAAACAAAGCAUCAUUCAUUCAAAUUCUAACCCCAACAACACCAGCCAACUAACAUCCAUGAGCAAAUUAAAAGAAACCAUAAACAUUUUUCCUUUUGUUGAGCUUUGACAGUAAUCUUCUUUAGCUUUUUAACCUCCUUCUCCAAUGUCUUCACUGAAUUAAGUUCUGCCAACUCUUUCCAAUCCUUGGUCUUCUCACUAUUUUCAUUCUUCAAUUUAACCAACAUCUCUCUGCUCAUCUUCAACUUUAAUGUCAAAUCUUCAAUAACAUCUUUGGCUCGUUCAGGAAAUGGUGGAUCGUACCAUUUAAAGAAACCGCAGUAAGCUCUCCUGUCCUAUUACACAGCAACACACCAGCCAUUUUCAGUCGCAAUCAUAUGAAAAGAAAUAAAAAAAACAUCAUUCCAAAAUCUUACCCGAUAAUUAAUACACCCAAUGAAUCGCCUUCCUAGAUGUUUUGUUCCAUCUUUCUUUGCCUCCCACAUUUGCACCAUUGCUCCACAGUGACACCGACUUGGGAAGUCUGGUGUAAUCCAUUCAUUUUUGUUGCAUGAACUACAAUCUUCUUCCCCGAUUUCAUUUACAAUUCCACUCCAAGAUGAGCUCAUCCUUUCAAUUAAACACUGAAAACCCGAAGAAGAAGAAGAAGGAAGAAUGAGAGAAGAA